UCCUCAUCCAGCCUAGACUGGGGGCUCGGCCAGGCCCUGGCUGAGUUCCCUCAGGAGGCCACCUCUAGCCCAGUACUGAAAAUUUAAACCCCCACUAGCUUGACUGUUUUUCAAGAUGUACAAACCUACUUAGUGGAACAGAGAAUCACAGGCUCCGUACAAGGCUCAACAGAACCCCCAGGCCAGUGGCUUUUGAUUGCAACCCCUUCUAGCAGGGAAGGGAAGUGCACAGGAAGACUCCUACUCAGCCUCUAGAAUCAGCCAGCCCAGAUUCAUUCCUGUCAGCUGUGUGACCCUGGACACAUUGCUGAGCCUCUCUGGGCCUCAAUGUUCUCAUCUGCCAAAUGGAAACAAUACAUUACCUACCAUAUAAAGUCAUUAUAAGGACACAGUGAAACAACGCAGCUGGCUCACCCCUGGCUCUGUCCACCAUUCCAACCAGUAGCAGAAAGCCCAGCAGUCAAUAGCUCCUGGCCUCUAGAUGCGAAGACAGCCAGCCUCAGCUGAAGUCUUUUGGUUCUGAUUCCAAAUUCUUUGCACAAAUCAGAGAUUGGCUCAGCCUGGGUCAGGUGAUCCCCACCUGGGGAGAGUCAAUAUGGCCAAUCCUGUAGGAAACCUGGGGCCGAUGAUGAUGGGGAGCAGCUUCCCGCAAGGGGACAACACCAGGCAAAGAGAACAACGGUCAUCUCUUGCCUGUUCUGGGUUCCUCCCCUCUGGUCAGACCCAGGACUCUCACCCCACCUCCAUCACAGAAGCAAAGCAGAUGGGCACUGCUCUCUUCCACGCUGGGCUGAUUUUAUUGGUUUGUAAAAAAAAUAAAAGCCUCCCUAUCCCCUAAUACAUUACAGAGCAGACACUGGUGAUUGGGAAUCCAGAUCACAAAGUCUCCAGUCUUCAGUCCUGCCUUUCAGGGCCAGUGCUUUGAGUAGGGGGGUAUAUAAAAACACUUCCUUUGAGCUGAUUAGGCACACGCUCUCCAGUAUGAAAGAGACUGCAUGCCACCCCCUAAGCCACUGUCCUAGUCCCUGUGGGCGUGUGAGUGAUGAGUCCUCGCUGGGCACUGUGCGCAGCACCUGAGCUCUCACACCGGUCCUUCCAUCAUCUGGAACCCUCAGCAUGCCCUUGAGAAGCAGCCAGCCAGCCACUUUACAGAUGGGGAAACAGAGGCUUCCAGCAACCCAGCAUGUCCAGGGCAGAACUGGAGUUCCACACCAAGGCCUGUGCUGGGUACAUCUCCCACUCUUUGCCUCCAGGCCCAGAGGGGGCUCAGGGUAGGGCCCGUGCUUCCCUUUCCCCACUCCCAGAUCCCAUCCUCUCUGGCGUCCAGUCUUCUUCCACAGCACGGACCCCAUGGCCCCAGUCUACCGCGACCAGCACUUCUGUGAGACAUGACUGGGGGGUCCACAGGCUCUCCUCCCCCAAGCACCCAGCCCAUCAGGCCUCAGGCCCCCAGGACCAGCAGGGACAGCUCUCCUCAACGGCCCCCUAAGUGCCUUAAGAGCCACCUCCUGGCCUUGGUUUACAGCAUUCCCUGGCCUGGGGCCCCUUUCAGCCACCCGGCCCAGCUGUCUGGGCUCAGGUCCUUCUCCCUGAGGCCCCACCACUCACAACUCUGUCUCUUCAGUGACCACAAGCUCCUCUGGGCAUCGCAGUUUCUCCCGUGGAGGCACUGGGUAGGAGGGAGCCUCCAGAGCAACAGGAGAGCUGGGAGUGAGACGUGUCUGCCUGGCGAGAAGCUGGUCUAAAGGCAAGUCCAUGGAAGCAGCCAGGUUGAAGCAGUGAAAGCCUCAGGAGAGAAGGAGGAAGAUCCUGGAAGAUCUUGUGGCGGCAGAACCAGCCACGUGUUUCAUGUACACAGACCUCUGCAUAUGCUGUUCCUUCUAGUGGGAGUCCUUUCCUGUCAUCUGUCCUCUAUGUGGCAAACUUGGCCAGUUGUGACCUCCAGUGUCUAUUCCUCAAGCCUCCUUAGAAAUGGAACCCCCGAGUGUUAGCUAGCUGGGCAUAUGGCCACCCAAAAUAAAGAACAUGUUUCUCAGCCUCCCUUGCAGUUAGCUGGGCCAUGGGAUUGAGCCUUGACAAUGGCUUCUAAGUGCACUGUACAACUUCCAGGAGUGUCCUUAAAAACACGGCUGCUGGAGCUCUGGCAGCCACCUUGUACCAGGAGGCACGUGAAGGCUUGAGGACAAGCAUGUGGAACAAGAAAAUAGGAAGAACCUGGGUGCCUUUCACCAUGGAGAAACUUAUGAGCCCUGGGCCUCCCACCACCAGAUUUCAACUUGAGUCAGACACAAGCUUCUAUCAUGUUUAAGUCACUGUUAUUUUUGUGUUUGUUUUCAUUUAGGGCCAAGUGUAAACUUAAUCGAUACAGCCAGAAAACUCCUUUAAAACUUUUUAAAACCCAGCUCAAUUGUCACCUUCCUCAGGAAGACUUCCUAAAUCUAAGAUAAAAUAAACCCCUCCCAGAUAUGACCAUAUUCUUAUUUUUACUUUUAUCCUUCUGUAUUAUAACUUUCCUGUUUAGAUGUCAGCUAUACAUCUCCAGAACACUGAAAUAUCCAGCUCAGAGCCCUGCAACCUAGUAAUACUAAUAGUACUGAAACAAUAGAUGAUAUUUAUUGAGGGCUUACAAUGAGUCAAGCACUAUUUUCAGAGUUUAUAUAUAUUAUCUCAUUUAAUCCUCACAGGAACUCUAUGGGAUAGGCACGAGUAUUAACCUCACUAUAAAAUGAAGAUGAAAAAACCAAGGCACAGAGAGAAUAAGUAAAUUGCCCAAGGUCACACAGCUAGAAACUGGUAGAGAUUGGACUUAAAUCCAGGAGUCUGACUGCAGAGUUCAAGUUCUUAGCUUGUCAUUCUUAUCAUGGGAACUCUGUUAGCUUGUGAUAGGCAUGCCUUGAAGUGGGAUGUGGGGGAACCAUACAACUCCCCUCACCUUCAUUAAAAUGAGGAAAACAGGAGGAGCCCUCGCCAUCUGCCUGGGAACCAUGGCAACCAGGGCUCAGGGCUCUGGAGGGGGUUAGAGGUCCCAGGGACUUACGGAACCCAAGCAUCCACAAGGCCACCUGUUUCCGUUAUCUCUGCCAUGUAACAAACCAGCCCAGAACUUAGUGGCUUGAAAUAACUGCUUUACGAGUUCUAAGGGUCCGUAGGUCAGCUGGGGGUAUCUCCUGCUUCCUGUGGCGUCAGCCUGGUGAUUUCAGCUGGGAUCUCAGCCACGAGGCCUCCCUCUCAGGCCUGUGCUGGGGCACCUCAGCUCCGCUCCACGUGGCCUCUCUUCCCACAUGGCUCCUGACACUCUUGUCUGCUCAGGUUGCCAUGCAAGGCCGCUGGACUCCAAAACACAGAGAGGGGGCUUCCCUGGCUGUUCAGCGGUCAGGACUUCACCUUCCAAUGCAGCGGGUGCAGGUUCAAUCCCUGGUAGGGAAGCUAAGAUCCCUCAUGCU
ensembl:lncRNA